GGGGGAGAAACUUGCACGCAGUCACAGGAUGAGAGUGGGAGCCGUGCCGUAGAGGAAAGCCCGGCUGCCGGUGCCUCGGAUGAGGACGAGUCCCGGGUUCUUCGUGAGGAGAAGGAGGAAGACGAGGAGGAGGAGGGUGUGAGAAGAGAAUCGUUGGAAGACAGAAGGAGGAAGAGCAGAGAAGAAGGGUGGUUGAAUGAUUGGACAUUAUUUCAAGUGAUGAAAUGCAUGAUUGGGAGCAAAAUGCCUUUAAAACACAUUU